rnacentral:rRNA from 1 species
GACGAACGCUGGCGGCGUGCUUAACACAUGCAAGUCGAACGGAAAGGCCCUGCUUUUGUGGGGUGCUCGAGUGGCGAACGGGUGAGUAACACGUGAGUAACCUGCCCUUGACUUUGGGAUAACUUCAGGAAACUGGGGCUAAUACCGGAUAGGAGCUCCUGCUGCAUGGUGGGGGUUGGAAAGUUUCGGCGGUUGGGGAUGGACUCGCGGCUUAUCAGCUUGUUGGUGGGGUAGUGGCUUACCAAGGCUUUGACGGGUAGCCGGCCUGAGAGGGUGACCGGACAAACUGGGACUGAGAUACGGCCCAGACUCCUACGCGAGGCAGCAGUGAGGAAUAUUGAACACUGGGCGGAAGCAUGAUGCAGCAACGCCGCGUGCGGGAUGAAGGCCUUCGGGUGGUGAACCGCUUUGGCCUGUGACGAAGCGUGAGUGACGGUAAUGGGUGAAGAAGCACCGGCUAAAUACGUG